CAAUGCCCCUUCUCACGCUGGAUGAACUUGGGAAUAAAAUGCCUGAUCAGGGCAUUGAACACAGAGUUUUUGUGUAUGUGACAAACUGCUAAAUCCCAAGUGGUCAGAAGCUAGCAUUAAUAUUAGGAUUUAGGUGGAUUAUAAUACCUGCUGCUAUUUUUACUUUUCGUUUUAGAUGCCAAUCCUGAACAUGCUUACGAGGAAGAUAAUCUCACUGAAAUUCAGCUGGACUUUGUUCAAAUUUGAACCACCAUGGCCACUUCUACAGGCACAAACAUUUGGCUUGACACAUCUCCCUCCAAACUGGCAUUUCGGCUCGCAAACAGCUGCAACAAAACAACUUGAAUGGGCAGUGAUACCUCAGAAGGCAGGUGAGUAAAGAUACCCUACCUGUACCACCAGAACCAACCGCUGCUGCUGAAAGGUGACCAGCUUCUACCAUUGUGUGCCACUGAAUAGGAAAAGUGGAAUUCAAGGU